rnacentral:rRNA from 1 species
CACGCCGUAAACGAUGAAUGCCAGACGUCGGGCAGCAUGCUGUUCGGUGUCACACCUAACGGAUUAAGCAUUCCGCCUGGGGAGUACGGCCGCAAGGUUAAAACUCAAAGGAAUUGACGG